AAAAGAGAGUGUAAUAAUAGAACUGCUAAUUCUAUUUUCCAUAUAUAAAUAUAUGGCUCCCUUG
rnacentral:tRNA from 1 species